CCUACGGGAGGCUGCAGUGGGGAAUAUUGGACAAUGGGGGGAACCCUGAUCCAGCCAUGCCGCGUGUGUGAAGAAGGCCCUCGGGUUGUAAAGCACUUUCAGUGAGGAAGAACACCUGGUGGUUAAUACCCAUCAGGAAAGACAUCACUCACAGAAGAAGCACCGGCUAACUCCGUGCCAGCAGCCGCGGUAAUACGGAGGGUGCGAGCGUUAAUCGGAAUUACUGGGCGUAAAGCGCGCGUAGGUGGCUUGAUAAGCCGGUUGUGAAAGCCCCGGGCUCAACCUGGGAACGGCAUCCGGAACUGUCAAGCUAGAGUGCAGGAGAGGAAGGUAGAAUUCCCGGUGUAGCGGUGAAAUGCGUAGAGAUCGGGAGGAAUACCAGUGGCGAAGGCGGCCUUCUGGACUGACACUGACACUGAGGUGCGAAAGCGUGGGUAGCAAACAGGAUUAGAUACCCCGGUAGUC
rnacentral:rRNA from 1 species